rnacentral:rRNA from 1 species
UACGUAGGGUGCAAGCGUUAUCCGGAAUUAUUGGGCGUAAAGAGCUCGUAGGCGGUUUGUCACGUCUGCUGUGAAAACUGGAGGCUCAACCUCCAGCCUGCAGUGGGUACGGGCAGACUAGAGUGCGGUAGGGGAGACUGGAAUUCCUGGUGUAGCGGUGGAAUGCGCAGAUAUCAGGAGGAACACCGAUGGCGAAGGCAGGUCUCUGGGCC